GGCUAGGCAAUGGGGGUCAAGUGACUUGCUCAGGCUUAGACAGCUGGCAAGUGUCUGAGACCAGAUUUGAACCCAGGAACUCCCUUCUCCAGGUCUGGCUCUCAAUCCACUGAGCAAUCCAGCUGCCUACCUUGAGGCUACUUCUUCAAGGAUGGUGCCUCUCAACUCUGGUCCUAAGACAGGCAGGAAGAAGCAGCCUUUUGUCCUGAAUGUGCAGAAACGGAAAGGAUGGAACAUCUUACUCCCCAAAGGGGAUCUUUGGCCCCUUACUGUCAUUUUGACUUGGAUGACUUGGAUGAAGGUGGAGACGGCAUGCUUGUAAUGUGGGAGAAGGGGACCCCAAACUCUAUAUCCAAGACGACUUCUUUUCCACCUAAUACCAGUGUCACAAUGAACACAUAUAGAGAAAAGCAAAGAAGGCCAACUAUCCAAAUGAUAGCAAAACAGGAAUCAGAGAAGGGUAAGAAAAGAAAUUGUUCCUCCGACUGGCUGUCACCUGAGAGAGAUUUAUCCCUGCCCCCCCAAAGACCUGCCCAGAAGCAGAAGUCUGCCAGUUAGACCAUCUAAUAUUAAAUCACAAUACUCUGCAUGCAUGUGGGGCCCAUGAAAAUUGGACGUUGGUCUAAGCUUCUGAAGUUGGAAGCAAAUGUUUGAACACUUGGAUGAAAUUUCCAGACUUGGCAUUUUGUGGAAAGAGAGUCUUCCAGAUUCCAGUGCAGAAUUGCAUGAAUGUGGACAUACUGAGGUUAAGGUUUGGCCUUUUGAUGCCUACCAGGAAUUGGUUCAAAAAACUCACUUCCAGAAGAUGUCCUAGAUUAAUAGCGAUGUAACCUGAUUUUCUACAUUGUCCAUAGUUAUAGGAUUAAGAUUAAACUCCUAAUGAUUCCCCAGAGGUGCCAUAAUAUCCACAACCACCAUAGAAAGAGCCAUUUUCUAACUCAGGGCUAUGUUGGAGCCAGUUUGAACCAGCUCUUAAGAGAGUCAUUUGUUAAAUUUUCAGCAUGAGCAUUUAUGGCUCUGGAAGUCAGCAAGCAUUACAAAUCAUGACUUGAAUGUUUUGCUGAUUGUCUAGAUUUAAGGAAAUGAUGAAGAGAAUGUUUAAAAUGUUAAUUAAAUUUUAAAAGGUGUUGUGAACAAUAUUUUUUUUAGGAGAGCUGGUUAUUAAACAUUUACCAGCACACUCCUGGUUAGCUUCUUUAUUUUACUCUCCUUAUUAAGACACGGAAGUUUCAGCAAGAGUUGAAGCAAAAGGAAUUUUCUUCCAAAUCCUCACUUAACUAGAAAAUUUGAUUAUCUAGGACUCUACAUUUUUCACGUGAAAAACAAACAAACAUCUGAAGGGUUCUAGUGUACAUCAAACCCUGUAGGAGUUGGCAUUGUGACAUAGUAGCCAGAAAAGUCAGUGUAAUAAUAGGCAGUUUUAUGAGAGGUAUAGUUUCCAGAGUUAUAGAAUAUUAUUGUGCUCUCUUCUCGUUGUAUCAUAUUUGGAGUAUUGUGUUCAGCACUAGCUGCUGCAUUUCUAGACUUUGGCAAGCAUUGCUAAGAGGGUAAGGGGACUGGAGUCCAUGAGAUGGAGUAUAGAAAUUGGGGAUGCUUAGUCCUAGAGAAGAAAAUACAUGAGAGGGGGGGAUAUCCUAAUUGUCUUAUACUAUAAUGACCUUCCAGUAUAUUUCUAGCAUAUUCAUACUUACAUUACAAUUUGGCCACUUCCCAAUAGGAAGAUACACUUCUUAUUUUCUUGGUUUUGGCCACCCCAAAAAGAGCUACUUCAAAUAUUUCUAUACAUAUGGGUCCUUUUCCUCUUUCUUUGAUCAGUUUGAAGAACAGGCAGGGAUAUACAGGUAAAUGCUUAACAACUGGCUCUCUGAAAUAAAAAAAAAUUAUUCCCAAGUCUUUUUAAUUUA
ensembl:lncRNA